rnacentral:rRNA from 1 species
AGCGGACAGAUGGGGAGCUUGCUCCCUGAUGUCAGCGGCGGACGGGUGAGUAACACGUGGGUAACCUGCCUGUAAGACUGGGAUAACUCCGGGAAACCGGGGCUAAUACCGGAUGCUUGAUUGAACCGCAUGGUUCAAUUAUAAAAGGUGGCUUUUAGCUACCACUUACAGAUGGACCCGCGGCGCAUUAGCUAGUUGGUGAGGUAACGGCUCACCAAGGCAACGAUGCGUAGCCGACCUGAGAGGGUGAUCGGCCACACUGGGACUGAGACACGGCCCAGACUCCUACGGGAGGCAGCAGUAGGGAAUCUUCCGCAAUGGACGAAAGUCUGACGGAGCAACGCCGCGUGAGUGAUGAAGGUUUUCGGAUCGUAAAACUCUGUUGUUAGGGAAGAACAAGUACCGUUCGAAUAGGGCGGUACCUUGACGGUACCUAACCAGAAAGCCACGGCUAACUACGUGCCAGCAGCCGCGGUAAUACGUAGGUGGCAAGCGUUGUCCGGAAUUAUUGGGCGUAAAGCGCGCGCAGGCGGUUUCUUAAGUCUGAUGUGAAAGCCCCCGGCUCAACCGGGGAGGGUCAUUGGAAACUGGGGAACUUGAGUGCAGAAGAGGAGAGUGGAAUUCCACGUGUAGCGGUGAAAUGCGUAGAGAUGUGGAGGAACACCAUUGGCGAAGGCAACUCUCUGGUCUGUAACUGACGCUGAGGCCCGAAAG